GCACUGCUGACGAGACCCAAAUAGGACGAAACAGCUGUCAAGUGC
rnacentral:hammerhead_ribozyme from 1 species